rnacentral:lncRNA from 1 species
ACUGGAAAGUCUCCCGUAUUCAGUAAAUCUGUGUUCUCUCUAUCUGUCGGAAAGGGGUCAACCAGUCCUGUCGCAUCUGUGUAAACUGUCCGUUGCUUGCUUCCUAUCAAUCUUGGUUCCUGCUUAGCAGUCUUACUUGUUUACUGGUUCCCUUCUUUUGCUUAUUCGAUACUAGUUCCCGUCCUGAUCUCUCUCCGUCACUAGAAUUGUAAAUAAGUCGUGAAGCUUUGGUCAGAUGGUGGGGGAGUCUAUUCCUAAUGCAACUUUAUAUCGCCGCUGGGGGACUUGUUUAUCUCACCAUUUCUCGUCCCGAUAUUGCUUAUGCUGUCCAUGUGGUUAGCAAAUUAGAAAACUAACCUCGUUCUGUGAGGAGAUUCGGCCGGGGUGGGCUAAGCUAAUCAGCAGGCUUAUUCAGACAUGCUUAUGGGCAGUGGGCAGAUAGCAGAUAUGGAUUCAUAACUCUUCCUUAGUGGCUUAGGCUUAGUCGACCUACCUUCGUUGAGGAGCUACAGAACUGCCAUAGCUUGCAGUUUACCUGACGUUCUAACCGCUAUCUAGUUCUACCAGCUAUAAGCCGGAAAUGGUCUCAGUCAGCUAACGAGAAAAGGGUCUUCCUAAAGAAUUUCAUAAGUGAAGUUAGAAUCUCGGAUCGAUCACUCCUCAAUGCUUCAGCAAAGGAAAGCAGAACAGCUAGAGAUGCUAGUAAGAAGAACAGAGAGCGGCGGGGGACAUUCUCUUUAAACAGACAUCGCCUAGCCCCGUUCGCAAAGUCCCUCGCAUCACAUUCCUCACUACACUCAGACAACACCUAAGAAAGAAAAGAAAGAGUACCCGCUAGUAAGAGGAACCGAAGUAGCUGACCUACCUCACGAAAGACUUACCUCAGCGCUAAAGCCCUUGGCUUAUUGCAUAUUUUAGACUCUGAACUUCUGCCUUCUUAAGGUAGGGUAUUUAAAUACCUACCAGGAAAGCCUAGCUACUUUGUCGAGUAGCUUCAUGAAUGACUGGGGAUUGGCAAUAGAGGAAAGAACUGAUUGCAACUACUUCUUAUAUAAUAAGAAGCAAACACAGUCUUAUCUACUUCGUUCGAAAGCCCUAUGAAAGACUGCCUUCCAGGCAUAACACCCAUACCCACCCCGGGUUACUCAUUCCCACUUCUCCAUGUUGCCUGAGCUUCAAUUACAUCGAACCUUCCUCACAGCCAUUCUUUUAUAUCAUGCCAGCCUCUAUCCCUUUCGCUUACGCUUUCACCACCCUUGGAUCAUUGGCUU